AUGCAAAAUUUAUUAAAAAUCCAAACAACUUGGCAUGGUGCCUUGAAUUGCUUAUACAAUGGCAUGAACAAAAAAAAGAACCAUUUCAAGGAUGUCGAGAAACAACAUGCUCUCAGACAGAGCUUUCUAGCACUCGAACAUCCUCCAUUCAACAUGGUCUAUUUUUUGGACAUUCUUGAAAUUAAUUACCUUAACUUUUGCAAGCAGCUGGCCAUGCCCAUGGUAGGAAUCCAUGCCAGGUUUGAACGAUUUUCGAUACCGUAUGCAAGUUGUGACACGUCCUGCCAUUUAUCGGCCUUUUUUCACUGCAAAAAAUCCAUAAAAUGCAAAACUUGUUAA
rnacentral:rRNA from 1 species